UACAGAGGCCCCAAGCGUUACUGAGAAUCACUGGGUUUAAAGGGUGCGUAGGUGGCGCGUUAAGUCCGUUGUGAAAGCCCUGGGCUCAACCCAGGAACUGCUUCGGAUACUGGCGCGCUUGAGGCUAGUAGGGGUCACUGGAACUGACGGUGGAGCGGUGAAAUGCGUAGAUAUCGUCAGGAACGCCAAUGGUGAAGACAGGUGACUGGGCUAGUUCUGACACUGAGGCACGAAAGCGUGGGGAAGCGAACGGGG
rnacentral:rRNA from 1 species